AUUUUAUGUUAGGAUAACGAAUGUAUAACCUCAAUAAUAUGGUUUGAGGGUCUCUACCAGAAACCGUAAACUUCUGAUUACAAAAAUUUUUAUUUUUGUA
rfam:Bacillus sp. KCTC 13219 scaffold1.1, whole genome shotgun sequence.